rnacentral:lncRNA from 1 species
UCAAAUUUCUUGUCAUCCAGAUUUUUUUUUUUUUAAUUUCUCUUCCAUUUAUCUUCUCAUCAGAUACAUCAUUACAACUUGAAACAACAACUUGAAACAUGAGAGAAAUAGAGAACGCAUUAAGAAACGUUUGUGACGUAGAAGCCAGAAGAUACGAUUAUGAUAAAGAUAAUUUACGGUUGGAAGUUGGAACAUGUCAAACCACAAUGGCAAGAAAGAUGCAGGUGAUUGACGAUUUGAUGGAGGGUUCACAUGAGCCAAAGUCAGACUCUUAGAAGCACUAUCUUGAUCAAGGCCGAGGAGGCGAACCCUGAUUUGCAAUUAUACUUCCUUGACAAGAACAUGUGCCGGUUUAGGACAGAGGAGUGAAGACGGACGUUACUCCCCCUCCGUUGAGAAUAUGUAACUCCCUGAAAAGAGUUUCAAAAUGGGUCAGCGUAACAACUGCACCAAGCCAUGAAACGACAUAAUAAUCAAGGGUCCUACAGAUUUUCUCCAUCAUGUACCGUGAAUUUUUUUCGUUAUGAAAACAACUGUCUCUCUCUCUCUGAAUUUUCUUUUUUUUUUUUUUUUUUUUUUUUUUUUUGAAAAUUAUCUCUCUCUGAAUUUUCCCACCGCGGUCUUGAUGUUUCUCUCGCCAUCUCCUUUUGUGUGUGUCCUCAUCCUAUUUUCUGUAUCUCUAACCCACUAAAACCUUAAUUUACCGUUCAUAUGUGGUGUUACUCAAUCUCAAAAACAUAUAUUCUUCUCAAAAUUCAUUGAUUCCUCUGAUACUGUUUCCCAUCCAGAAUUUUAGAGUUAAUAUGUCUAUAGAAUCGAUGAUUUAAAACCACUUAUUCAUCUAUCUCGAAAUCAGAAAGGAAUCUUUCUAGAUUGAAUCGCCGUAGGAACUCAACGCAGGUAAGAUUUGCAACACCUAAAGUUGUUUCAUUUAACAAAAGAUCCAAAGUGAAAAGUUAUGAUUUUCUGUUCAACGAAGCAGAUUGUCAUCGUUUGUCCAUUUCAAUUCCAUGAAUCAGUUAAGUCGGAAAGGUAUUUUUACCAAAUUUGUUUUGAUAGGCACGUUAGAUAGCUAGAGAUGAGAUUUAACUGAUUGCAUAUAUUGUAGUAUAUAUAGCAAGGGCCGCCCCUGCCAUAAGGUUAGUGAAGCUGGAGCUUAAGGCCACAAAAAUAAUUUACAAUUUUUGAGGC